rnacentral:rRNA from 1 species
UGGGGAAUAUUGGACAAUGGGGGAAACCCUGAUCCAGCCAUGCCGCGUGUGUGAAGAAGGUCUUAGGAUUGUAAAGCACUUUAAGUUGGGAGGAAGGGCAGUUAACUAAUACUUGACUGUUUUGACGUUACCGACAGAAUAAGCACCGGCUAACUUCGUGCCAGCAGCCGCGGUAAUACGUAGGGGGCAAGCGUUGUCCGGAAUGAUUGGGCGUAAAGGGCGCGUAGGCGGCCAACUAAGUUUGGAGUGAAAGUCCUGCUUUUAAGGUGGGAAUUGCUUUGAAAACUGGAUGGCUUGAGUGUAGGAGAGGUUAGUGGAAUUCCCGGUGUAGCGGUGAAAUGCGUAGAGAUCGGGAGGAACACCAGUGGCGAAGGCGACUAACUGGACUAUUACUGACGCUGAGGCGCGAAAGUGUGGGGAGCGAACAGG